rnacentral:rRNA from 1 species
AACGAACGCUGGCGGCAUGCCUAACACAUGCAAGUCGAACGAUCCCUUCGGGGAUAGUGGCGCACGGGUGCGUAACGCGUGGGAACCUGCCCUUAGGUUCGGAAUAACUCAGAGAAAUUUGAGCUAAUACCGGAUAAUGUCUUCGGACCAAAGAUUUAUCGCCUUUGGAUGGGCCCGCGUUGGAUUAGCUAGUUGGUGGGGUAAAGGCCUACCAAGGCGACGAUCCAUAGCUGGUCUGAGAGGAUGAUCAGCCACACUGGGACUGAGACACGGCCCAGACUCCUACGGGAGGCAGCAGUGGGGAAUAUUGGACAAUGGGCGAAAGCAUGAUCCAGCAAUGCCGCGUGAGUGAUGAAGGCCUUAGGGUUGUAAAGCUCUUUUACCCGGGAUGAUAAUGACAGUACCGGGAGAAUAAGCCCCGGCUAACUCCGUG